rnacentral:misc_RNA from 1 species
GAUGAAGAACGUAGCGAAAUGCGAUAAGUAAUGUGAAUUGCAGAAUUCAGUGAAUCAUCGAAUCUUUGAACCCACAUUGCGCCCGCUAGUAUUCUGGCGGGCAUGCCUGUCCGAGCGUCAUUUCAACCCUCAAGCCCCCGGGCUUGGUGUUGGGGAUCGGCGAGCCUCCGCGCCCGCCGUCCCCUAAAUCUAGUGGCGGUCUCGCUGUAGCUUCCUCUGCGUAGUAGCACACCUCGCACUGGGAAACAGCGCGGCCACGCCGUUAAACCCCCAACUUCUGAACGUUUGACCUCGGAUCAGGUAGGAAUACCCGCUGAACUUAAGCAUAUCAAUAAGCGGAGGA